AAUGAACGUUGGCGGCAUGGAUUAGGCAUGCAAGUCGGGGGAAUCCCAGCAAUGGGGGAACCGGCGUAAGGGGCAGUAAGGCAUGGGUACCUACCUUGGGGUUCGGGAUAGCCAUCAGAGAUGGUGGGUAAUACCGGAUGACGUCGUGAGACCAAAGAUUUAUCGCCCUUAGAGGGGCCCAUGCGAUAUUAGCUAGUUGGUGGGGUAACGGCCCACCAAGGCGAAGAUGUCUAGCGGGUGUGAGAGCACGACCCGCGCCACUCGCACUGAGACACUGGCGAGACACCUACGGGUGGCUGCAGUCGAGGAUCUUCGGCAAUGAGCGCAAGCUUGACCGAGCGAUGCCGCGUGAGCGAUGAAGGCCUUCGGGUUGUAAAGCUCUUUAGUGGGGGAGAAAAGCCGCAAGGUGUGAUCUAUCCCAAAAAUAAGCACGGGCUAAGUUCGUGCCAGCAGCCGCGGUAA
rnacentral:rRNA from 1 species